rnacentral:lncRNA from 1 species
AGUUUGAAGUAGAUUGGAGACAUUUUCUCAUGUUUCAGCCUCCUUGGACCAAGCAAAAUAAGCUGACCUUUGAAGAGAACAGAUCUUGAGGGGGAUCUGUAGAUGGACACAGGGAGAUUCCAGGUGCCUCAGAGGGAUCAACUUGCAGUUCCAAGUUGUCCUCAGGGAAAUCUUGCCAUUUUUUGGGAUAAUGAACUGAAUUCUCAUCACAGUGGAAUACGUAUCAUCGGAAGGGAUUUUUAAAGGGCAGGGUGAGAAGUGGAUUGAGAAUUUCGCAUAGCACCAAGGUUAAACAGAAGCCAACUACGAAACAAAGCCAGAAGGGCACUCAAGCAAAUAAUCAAAAUCAAAUCCUUACCACGCUGCCAGGGACCGAUAUAUCCAGAGCAUGGGACCAGGAGCUGGACUCACGGUGGGAUCUCUGAUCAGUCACAGAAGGAGCUUGACGAGCUCAUGGGGUCUCUCUCCCUAGGUGGAGAAGACAGGGCUCCAAAUGGACUUCCAGUCCCAUCCACGUCACAGAGGCAAAUUGUCAGAGACAAAGACCUAAGCCGGUCCUUUUCCAGGAGUAAAUGACCAUCGUGCGCCCAUGGGAAGAGUGCUGCAUCCACGGAGGACAUGGGCCAACAGUGCUCUCAAAUGGGUUUCAUGAAAGCAUCUGUGACUCAUCCCUGUUCAAGAAUGUUUUCAUUACGAUUCAGCAGAAGCGAUGUGCCAGGUCAGCAAAUACAACUGCAAAACCGGGGCCUGCCAGCCUGGCCAACACAGCAAGACCCCGUCUCUACUAAAAAGUAAAAUUAAAAUUAGCUGAGUAUGGUG